rnacentral:rRNA from 1 species
UGCCAGCCGCCGCGGUAAUACGAAGGGUGCUAGCGUUGUUCGGAAUUACUGGGCGUAAAGAGCAUGUAGGCGGAUGAAUUAGUCAGAGGUGAAAGCCCCGAGCUCAACUUGGGAACUGCAUUCGAAACUGGCGGGCUUGAAUACGGGAGAGGGAAGCGGAAUUCCUGGUGUAGAGGUGAAAUUCGUAGAUAUCAGGAAGAACACCAGUGGCGAAAGCGGCUUCCUGGCCCGAUAUUGACGCUCAUGUACGAAAGCGUGGGGAUCAAACAGGAUUAGAUA